AUGUCAUGUGUAACGUAUGUGGUAGCCUUGAGCUUCACGUAUAGGAUUAGGAGAGUAGUUAAAGGAUCCUUUUAUCUUUCUAUCCUUUCUUCUCUCUCUCGUAAUCCUCCUCCAUGGUUGGAGAUCUCAACCGCACCAUGUACUCCUACGAGACUAAUCCUCUCGUCACAAUCAAUAUAUACCUCGCGGGCUCUCUGUAUGAGAGUUGAGACGCUUUACCAAUUCUACCAUGGUAUCCGGAGCCAUCUUCUUCCUCCACAUCUAGCUCUCCACCAGAUUAAACCUAGCCGCCAUCAAAAACCUCCUUCAGAUCAGAACCUAGCACCAUGUCUUCUUCCUCCAGUUCGGCUUCUUUCUCUAGCUUGA
rnacentral:rRNA from 1 species